UACGAAGGGGGCUAGCGUUGCUCGGAAUCACUGGGCGUAAAGCGCACGUAGGCGGCUUGUUAAGUCAGGGGUGAAAUCCUGGAGCUCAACUCCAGAACUGCCUUUGAUACUGGCGAGCUUGAGUUCGGGAGAGGUGAGUGGAACUGCGAGUGUAGAGGUGAAAUUCGUAGAUAUUCGCAAGAACACCAGUGGCGAAGGCGGCUCACUGGCCCGAUACUGACACUGAGGCUCGAAAGUGCGGGGAUCAAACAGG
rnacentral:rRNA from 1 species